CCCUUAGAUGUCCUGGGCCGCACGCGCGUUACACUGAUGCAUUCAACGAGCUUAUAACCUUGGCCGAGAGGCCUGGGCAAUCUUGUUAACGUGCAUCGUGUUAGGGAUAGAUUAUUGAAAUUAUUAAUCUUGAACGAGGAAUUCCUAGUAAACGCAGAUCAUCAAUCUGCAUUGAUUACGUCCCUGCCCUUUGUACACACCGCCCGUCGCACCUACCGAUUGGAUGGUCCGGUGAAGCCUCGGGAUUGUGGUUCUUGCCGCUUUAUUGUGGCGUGACCGCGAGAACUUGUCUAAACCUUAUCAUCUAGAGGAAGGUGAAGUCGUAACA
rnacentral:rRNA from 1 species